rnacentral:rRNA from 1 species
UACGGGGGGGGCAAGCGUUGUUCGGAAUUACUGGGCGUAAAGGGCUCGUAGGUGGCCAACUAAGUCAGACGUGAAAUCCCCGGGCUCAACCCGGGAACUGCGUCCGAUACUGGCAGGCUUGAAUUCGGGAGAGGGAUGCGGAAUUCCAGGUGUAGCGGUGAAAUGCGUAGAUAUCUGGAGGAACACCGGUGGCGAAGGCGGCAUCCUGGACCGAAAUUGACGCUGAGGCGCGAAAGCCAGGGGAGCAAACGGG